rnacentral:rRNA from 1 species
GGACUACGGGGGUAUCUAAUCCGGUUCGCUCCCCCAGCUUUCAUCCCUCACCGUCGGGCGCGUUCUAGCAGACAGCCUUCGCCACUGGUGGUCUUCCAGGGAUUAUAGGAUUUCACCCCUACCCCUAGAAUACCGUCUGCCUCUCUCGUCCCCUAGCCGAGCAGUUUCCCCCGCAGGCCAACGAUUAAAUCGGUGGGUUUAACAGGGGACUUGUUCAGCCAGCUACGGAUGCUUUAGGCCCAAUAAACGUCCACACCACUCGGAGAGCUGGUAUUACCGCGGCGGCUGACACCAGACUUGCCCUCUCCUUAUUCCCCCAGCUUUCUAGACUGGGUAAAAGCCAACCUCAGCGGUCGGCACUCGGGAUGACCCUGUCACACUUGCGUGUAUUGCAAAGUUUUCGCGACUGCUGCCCCCCAUAGG